rnacentral:lncRNA from 1 species
GUUUAUUGUCAAGAAGUGUGGAUUUCCAUCUGUCAGAGUUUGAAAUCAGAUUCCAAAACAGGGAGCCUAGCUCUGAAUAAGAACCCAUGGAAAUUGUUAAGACCCAUUUUCAUGAGGAUAUAAUCCAACUCUAGAAGCAGCCACAGUUUAUGCCAGAUUUGGGGAUAAAAUCCCUUUUGGUCUGUGAAGAGGGUUGAAAUUUUAAUCAACUAUUUUCUACCUCAUAGAAUCCCAUAUGGUGUUGGGUCAUUUUGAACAUGGGAAUACUUUGACAUUGUAUAUCACUUUUGUUUCUCCCCUAAAGGAAAGCCACAACACCCUGUAUCUGAAGAGCUGGGUGGAGGUUACUCCCAAGAGCCCGUUGAUAUCUGCUGGCAAAGCCACCCGAGCAAGUCACGCCAAUCAUGCUCUGUGGUAAAUGGUAAGGAGAAGAGGCAAGAAAGCUGAAUGUGCUGUCUUCCCCAUUGGCUUGUAAGAGCAAAAGGAGGUAAGAUGUAAGGGAAGGGGAAAAGAGUAUGUCAGCAUCAAAAAAGGAGGUUCAUUGGUAUGAAUUCCUGAGUCCGAAGUAGUUGUACUCCACCUUGGCCACUGAAAUCACUGGGGAUGAUUUGAAGACUCAUGUCUCGACCCCUCCCCCAUAACUUAAAGUGUCUUGAGAUAGACCUAAGUAUUAGAGUUAUUCGUUGAUUUAUAAGCUCAAGAAAUGAUGCUGAUGCAAAGUCAAGAUUGAGAACCUCUGCUCUAGACUCAGUGAGCCAUCCCCAUGAGGAUUAGCUCCUUACUCAUUUCUCAUCUCCCACUCAGACACAUUGAAUUGUAUUCACCCAGUCAUCAUGGGGCCAUGUUACGCUGGAGCCCUUCACGACCUGCAAGAUCAACUAGCCUUGCCCUUGCUUUUGAGGCAACAAUAAUGUGACAGAAAGACCACUGGAUCUAGGUCCCAUGACUAGACUAUUUCUGUUCAUAGUUAAAUGAACUACGACAAAUCAUGAGGAAGUCGUGGCAUCUCUCUGGGUCUCCUUUUGCUAAGAUACUGGACUUAGGGAAAUUCAGUGACCAUUGUGAAUGCACCUAACUCGGUAUGAGGCAUGUAUGGUAAUGCAUAGCUACUCAGGAAAAACUUUUUUCUCUGUUUAAGUUCUUAUAGGUAAAGGCACUGCACCCCGAAAGGAUAAAUAAAGUGUAUUUGCUCAGAGCUUUGUCUAUUGUA